GGGCCUGUAGCUCAACGGUUAGAGCCGGCCGCUCAUAACGGUCUGGUUGGGGGGUUCAAGUCCCUCCAGGCCCACCA
rnacentral:tRNA from 1 species